AGCCUUUCGGGGUGGAUUAGUGGCGAACGGGUGAGUAACACGUGGGCAAUCUGCCCUUCACUCUGGGACAAGCCCUGGAAACGGGGUCUAAUACCGGAUAACACUCUGUCCCGCAUGGGACGGGGUUAAAAGCUCCGGCGGUGAAGGAUGAGCCCGCGGCCUAUCAGCUUGUUGGUGGGGUAAUGGCCUACCAAGGCGACGACGGGUAGCCGGCCUGAGAGGGCGACCGGCCACACUGGGACUGAGACACGGCCCAGACUCCUACGGGAGGCAGCAGUGGGGAAUAUUGCACAAUGGGCGAAAGCCUGAUGCAGCGACGCCGCGUGAGGGAUGACGGCCUUCGGGUUGUAAACCUCUUUCAGCAGGGAAGAAGCGAAAGUGACGGUACCUGCAGAAGAAGCGCCGGCUAACUACGUGCCAGCAGCCGCGGUAAUACGUAGGGCGCAAGCGUUGUCCGGAAUUAUUGGGCGUAAAGAGCUCGUAGGCGGCUUGUCACGUCGGAUGUGAAAGCCCGGGGCUUAACCCCGGGUCUGCAUUCGAUACGGGCUAGCUAGAGUGUGGUAGGGGAGAUCGGAAUUCCUGGUGUAGCGGUGAAAUGCGCAGAUAUCAGGAGGAACACCGGUGGCGAAGGCGGAUCUCUGGGCCAUUACUGACGCUGAGGAGCGAAAGCGUGGGGAGCGAACAGGAUUAGAUACCCUGGUAGUCCACGCCGUAAACGUUGGGAACUAGGUGUUGGCGACAUUCCACGUCGUCGGUGCCGCAGCUAACGCAUUAAGUUCCCCGCCUGGGGAGUACGGCCGCAAGGCUAACACUCAAAGGAAUUGACGGGGGCCCGCACAAGCAGCGGAGCAUGUGGCUUAUUCGACGCAACGCGAAGAACCUUACCAAGGGCUUGACAUAUACCGGAAAG
rnacentral:rRNA from 1 species